rnacentral:rRNA from 1 species
UACGUAGGGUGCAAGCGUUGUCCGGAAUUAUUGGGCGUAAAGAGCUCGUAGGCGGUUUGUCGCGUCUGCUGUGAAAACUCGGGGCUCAACUCCGAGCUUGCAGUGGGUACGGGCAGACUAGAGUGCGGUAGGGGAGACUGGAAUUCCUGGUGUAGCGGUGAAAUGCGCAGAUAUCAGGAGGAACACCGGUGGCGAAGGCGGGUCUCUGGGCCGAAAUUGACGCUGAGGAGCGAAAGCGUGGGGAGCAAACAGG